GACGAACCGUCCUAACGUUGUUCGGAAUCACUGGGCUUAAAGGGCGCGUAGGCGGGUCGCCAAGUCUGGGGUGAAAUCUUUCAGCUUAACCGGAAAAUAGCCCUGGAUACUGGCGAUCUAGAGGGUGGUAGGGGCAUGUGGAACUUCCGGUGGAGCGGUGAAAUGCGUUGAUAUCGGAAGGAACGCCGGUGGCGAAAGCGACGUGCUGGACCACUACUGACGCUGAGGCGCGAAAGCCAGGGGAGCAAACGGG
rnacentral:rRNA from 1 species